rnacentral:rRNA from 1 species
GGGGGGGGGGGGGGGGGGGGGGGGGGGGGGGGGGGGGGGGGGGGGCGGCGGGGGGGGUGGCGUGGCCGGGCGGCGACGGGGGGACGGGUGAGUGACGCGUGUCCAGCCUGCCUCUGACUGAGGGAUAACCCGUCGAGCGUCGGCCGACUCCCUCAUGGCAUCGUCUGCGGGCGUCCAACGACGCUUGACGCUUCCCUCGGUCUGGGGUGGGGAUGCGUCUGAUUAGCUUGUUGGAGGGGUACCGGCCCACCAAGGCUACGAUCAGUAGGGGUUCUGAGAGGAAGGUCCCCCACAUUGGAACGGAGACACGGUCCAAACUCCUACGGGAGGCAGCAGUGAGGAAUAUUGGUCAAUGGGCGGGAGCCUGAACCAGCCAAGUAGCGUGCAGGAUGACGGCCCUAUGGGUUGUAAACUGCUUUUAGGCGGGGAUAAAGUGAGGGACGUGUCCUUCAUUGCAGGUACCGCAUGAAUAAGGACCGGCUAAUUCCGUG